rnacentral:tRNA from 1 species
ACUUAAAUAGUUUAAUUAAAAAUUUUAGUUUGUGGUACUAAAGAUGUAACUGUACUUUAGGUU